AUAUAUAUAUAUAUAUAUAUAUAUAUUAUUUAGGCUGAAUCCUAUAAUACAGUCUAAAGCUGUUAAUUGGACAAGCUGGUUAUUAGGACCAAAACAAUUGUGCCCUGAUGUAGUCCAAUUAAACAGAUUUGACAUAUAUAUAUUUAAAAAAAAACUUUUUGCAAUGGUUUCCUAACAAAAAGAAUUGUAACAUUAACAUGCUUGAAAUUAAUGUGGAGAGAAAGAAAAUGAAGAAACUUAUUUAAAAAACUUUAAAUGUUGUUCAUGAUUCUCUUGGGUUGGAAUUUUUU